rnacentral:rRNA from 1 species
UCCUACGGGAGGCAGCAGUGGGGAAUAUUGGACAAUGGGCGCAAGCCUGAUCCAGCAAUGCCGCGUGAGUGAUGAAGGCCUUAGGGUUGUAAAGCUCUUUUACCCGGGAAGAUAAUGACUGUACCGGGAGAAUAAGCCACGGCUAACUACGUGCCAGCACCCGCGGUAAUA